rnacentral:rRNA from 1 species
CAAUAGCGUAUAUUAAAGUUGUUGCGGUAAAAAAGCUCGUAGUUGGAUUUCUGCCGAAGAUAGCCGGUCGGGUCUUCGACCUUGUAUCUGGUUUUGUCUUUGGUAUCCUCAUAGGGAACGUUUCUGCGCUUUAUUGCGUGGUGCGGUAUCUAUGACUUUUACUUUGAGGAAAUUAGAGUGUUCACGGCAGGCAAACGCCUUGAAUAUAUUAGCAUGGAAUAAUAACAUAGGAUCUUCGUCCUAUUUUGUUGGUUUCUAGGGCUAAGAUAAUGAUUAAUAGGGAUAAUUGGGGGCAUCUGUAUCAACGCGUCAGAGGUGGAAUUCUUGGAUUGCGUUGCGACAAACUACUGCGAAAGCAUUUGCCAAGGAUGUUUUCAUUGA